rnacentral:rRNA from 1 species
GAGUUUGAUCAUGGCUCAGGACGAACGCUGGCGGCGUGCUUAACACAUGCAAGUCGAACGAGAAUCUACUGAAAGAGUUUUCGGACAAUGGAAGUAGAGGAAAGUGGCGGACGGGUGAGUAACGCGUGAGGAACCUGCCUUGAAGAGGGGACAACAGUUGGAAACGACUGCUAAUACCGCAUGAUGCAUAAGGGUCGCAUGAUUCUUAUGCCAAAGAUUUAUCGCUUCAAGAUGGCCUCGCGUCUGAUUAGCUAGUUGGCGGGUAACGGCCCACCAAGGCGACGAUCAGUAGCCGGACUGAGAGGUUGAACGGCCACAUUGGGACUGAGAUACGGCCCAGACUCCUACGGGAGGCAGCAGUGGGGAAUAUUGGGCAAUGGGCGCAAGCCUGACCCAGCAAACGCCGCGUGAAGGAAGAAAGGCUUUCGGUAUGUAAACUUCUAUCAGCAGGGAAGAAAAUAGACGGUACCUGACUAAGAAGCCCGGCUAACUACGUGCCAGCA